AGAGCCCACUGGUGGAGACACUUGGGUGUAAGAGGGCUGGGUCUCUCCAGUCAACUGCGGAAGCGGGAACUGUCUUGGGAUUGGCGCCUGGGAGUGCCCUGGAGUGGAGACGUCGCCGCGGGAUCUGGCGCUCACCAAGUCCCUAAAGGGAAGAAACACUCGGGAACCCGCGACGCUUCCUUCUCCUGCCUCCCCCCCCCCCACGCCCGUUAGAAAGCAAAGUUGGGGAGAGUGAAGCAGGAGGCCAGAAGCCCCUCGCUCGCUCUCCCACCCGCCCCACCACUGCGGCCCGCGUGGCACCAGGCUAGAGACCGGCUCUCGGGGCAUUAUUCAAAAGCAAGGCGGCCUUUUGUCCUGGGCACCCGAGGACUUGGUGAGAAGCCAGCUGGGCGGCCUGGGAUUUUCUGGCCCUUUGCUGGGCUGGAAACUCCAGACUAUCGUGGGUUGUCCGUAGGGAGAUGGCUGGUGGUGCCCGUGGGUCCAGCUUAAGAAUCGUGACUCGGCUUGCUCUCCCCGUCCCUGCCAGCUCUCCGACUCCAUUGCAGGCAGAUUUAGCACGGGACUGAAAUCUAACCCUCUCCCGGUGCUUCUCCCACCCGCUCCCUGGAGGAUCUGCUAAGAAAGAAGGAACAAUUCUAGUCAACCAAGCAGAUCCCUUGGAAUCCAAUUCCUCCUAACCCCCAGCUCCACCGUACUGACCGCGCUGUGGUUUAGUGGGGAAGGGAAAAUCUGUUAUUUGCCCAAAUGCUUCAUUUGAAUUUCGUCGCGGCGCUCGUGGCUUUGUAGCACCAC
rnacentral:lncRNA from 1 species